rnacentral:rRNA from 1 species
UAGGGAAUCUUCGGCAAUGGACGGAAGUCUGACCGAGCAACGCCGCGUGAGUGAAGAAGGUUUUCGGAUCGUAAAGCUCUGUUGUAAGAGAAGAACGAGUGUGAGAGUGGAAAGUUCACACUGUGACGGUAUCUUACCAGAAAGGGACGGCUAACUACGUGCCAGCAGCCGCGGUAAUACGUAGGUCCCGAGCGUUGUCCGGAUUUAUUGGGCGUAAAGCGAGCGCAGGCGGUUAGAUAAGUCUGAAGUUAAAGGCUGUGGCUUAACCAUAGUACGCUUUGGAAACUGUUUAACUUGAGUGCAAGAGGGGAGAGUGGAAUUCCAUGUGUAGCGGUGAAAUGCGUAGAUAUAUGGAGGAACACCGGUGGCGAAAGCGGCUCUCUGGCUUGUAACUGACGCUGAGGCUCGAAAGCGUGGGGAGCAAACAGGAUUAGAUACCCUGGUAGUCCACGCCGUAACGAUGAGUGCUAGGUGUUAGACCCUUUCCGGGGUUUAGUGCCGUAGCUAACGCAUUAAGCACUCCGCCUGGGGGGUACGACCGCAAGGUU